rnacentral:miRNA from 1 species
CGGCAAGUAAUCUUUGGCUGC